rnacentral:rRNA from 1 species
UACGGGGGGGGCAAGCGUUGUUCGGAAUUACUGGGCGUAAAGGGCUUGUAGGUGGCCAACUAAGUCAGACGUGAAAUCCCUCGGCUUAACCGGGGAACUGCGUCUGAUACUGGAUGGCUUGAGUUUGGGAGAGGGACGCGGAAUUCCAGGUGUAGCGGUGAAGUGCGUAGAUAUCUGGAGGAACACCGGUGGCGAAGGCGGCGUCCUGGACCAACACUGACACUGAAAAGCGAAAGCCAGGGGAGCAAACGGG